UUUUUAAAAGCGAAACGGAAAAUCUCCGUUUUCAAAAAUACCCGUGUACGUGUGGACGGUUUGCUCCGUUAUUCUGGUCCACACAUAAAUGCAAAAACGGAGUUUUCGAAAAUAUCCACCCUGGCAGGCGUUUUUAGACAUCUCCAUUUUCAGUGACCAAAAACGCUGUUUACGUGCAGACGAACGGUGCACACGCAAUUGGUAGUUGAGCGUGCAACGUAAAGUUGAGCGUGCAACGUAAAUUUGGGUGAGCGUGCAACGUAAAGUUUGAAUUGAGUGCGAAUUGAAGCGGGUGCUCUCCAGUCAUUAAAAGUAACAAAGUCAAACAAUGCACACACAUUCUGGAUGGAUCAUGUAUACCUGCUUCAUGUAUACAUCUACCUGCUUAGCACUUUUAAUUUUAAUUUUUAUGUUACUAAGCAACAAAUGAGCGAAAGUCUGGGUCAAGCGCCGAGGCGACGGCAAGAACAAAGGAAACCUCGAAGCGUUAAAGCUAGCUUUGUAAGGGAAUAUAACGAAGAAAUUAUGAAACGAAAAUGUUUUCUUUGUUGAUAUACUUUGUUCGCAGUGCAGUUUAUUUGUUGCUGGAUUGUAAGAAGUAGACACAAUUUCGGGCUCCCACAUUUUGUGGGAGCAACGUAAAUAACAGUAAAAAACUUGUUAAUGUACAACAUUAACGAUUUUUUUAAUGUUAUUAAAAUGCAAACAUGGAAAUAACGAGUAGAAAAAAAAUUCAUUCAUUCUUACCUUAUACUAAUUGUGGUGCGGGCCAGUGCAGUGCAUGAACUGAUGCCUUCUCCGGUCAAUUCCGCUGAGAGUAAAUCAAAUGUCCCGCUCUACUGUAGAAGACAAUGAAUACCUGGGGGGAUGUACCAAUGUGAGAGGGGUGCUGCGGAAUAGUCCAAGUGAUCGCUGCUUUAAUUUCCCGGUCAACUAUACAUAAAUUGCACGUAGACACGAUUUUUUAAAGCUGGUGAACUAGACCAAGUCAUUGAUAACAAGUGAACAAUAAAUCUACUUUCUCUGGUACUUUAUACCCGAUCAGUUGCAAUGCAAUUUAA
ensembl:lncRNA